rnacentral:lncRNA from 1 species
CAUAAGCAGAACCAUCGUCAAGUACUUUUGUUUCCAUCCGUAUUGCCGUAAUAUAAGAUUGUCCUAAAAUCAACGGAUAAGACGUUGUAUCUUGAACAAAGAAAUGUUGCUCCGUCACAACAUCCUCAAUCCGAAUUUUGACAUCUGGACAAGCUCCAUAUAAUUUGCCUUGUGUAUUAUUAGUUGCUCAAAUUGUCCAUCCAUGUUCCAUAUCAAUUGGCCAUUUUUGCUUCUUAUAAAGAUCUUUAGACAUGAGAUUUAUUUCAGAACCAUG